AUUGAACGCUGGCGGCAGGCCUAACACAUGCAAGUCGUGCGAGGGGCAGACGGGUGAGUAAUGUAUGGGAAUCUGCCUGAUGGAGGGGGAUAACUACUGGCAACGGUAGCUAAUACAGCAUACCAUCGGAUGACCCCAUAUGGGAUUAGCUUGUAGGUAAGUUAACGGCUUCCCUAGGCGACGAUCCCUAGCUGGUCUGAGAGGAUGAUCAGCCACACUGGGACUGAGACACGGACCAGACUCCUACGGGAGGCAGCAGUGGGGAAGAUUGCACAAUGGGCGCAAGCCUGAUGCAGCCAUGCCGCGUGUAUGAAGAAGGCCUUCGGGUUGUAAAGUACUUUCAGUCGGGAGGCGUUACCGACAGAAGAAGCACCGGCUAACUCCGUGCCAGCAGCCGCGGUAAUUC
rnacentral:rRNA from 1 species